rnacentral:rRNA from 1 species
CACUCCUACGGGAGGCAGCAGUGGGGAAUUUUGGACAAUGGGGGCAACCCUGAUCCAGCAAUGCCGCGUGAGUGAAGAAGGCCUUCGGGUUGUAAAGCUCUUUUGUCAGGGAAGAAACGGUGGUGGCGAAUAACUACUACUAAUGACGGUACCUGAAGAAUAAGCACCGGCUAACUACGUGCCAGCAGCCGCGGUAAUACGUAGGGUGCAAGCGUUAAUCGGAAUUACUGGGCGUAAAGCGUGCGCAGGCGGUUGUGUAAGUCAGAUGUGAAAUCCCCGGGCUCAACCUGGGAAUUGCAUUUGAGACUGCACGGCUAGAGUGUGUCAGAGGGGGGUAGAAUUCCACGUGUAGCAGUGAAAUGCGUAGAUAUGUGGAGGAAUACCGAUGGCGAAGGCAGCCCCCUGGGAUAACACUGACGCUCAUGCACGAAAGCGUGGGGAGCAAACAGGAUUAGAUACCCCUGUAGUCCCA